GUGGGGAAUCUUCCACAAUGGGCGAAAGCCUGAUGGAGCAACGCCGCGUGAGUGAUGAAGGCCUUCGGGUUGUAAAGCUCUGUUAUUCGGGACGAAAGAGCGCAUGGCUAAUAUCCAUGCGAAGUGACGGUACCGAAAGAGAAAGCCACGGCUAACUACGUGCCAGCAGCCGCGGUAAUACGUAGGUGGCAAGCGUUGUCAGGAAUUAUUGGGCGUAAAGCGCGCGCAGGCGGCCUUUUAAGUCCAUCUUAAAAGCGUGGGGCUCAACCCCAUGAGGGGAUGGAAACUGGGAGGCUGGAGUAUCGGAGAGGAAAGCGGAAUUCCUAGUGUAGCGGUGAAAUGCGUAGAGAUUAGGAAGAACACCAGUGGCGAAGGCGGCUUUCUGGACGACAACUGACGCUGAGGCGCGAAAGCGUGGGGAGCAAACAGGAUUAGAUACCCGAGUAGUCC
rnacentral:rRNA from 1 species